CAUAAUCUCUAUGGAGAAAAGCGGGGGAUCGCAAGACCUUGCGCUUUUGGAGCGGCCGAUGUCUGAUUAGCUAGUUGGUGAGGUAAAGGCUUACCAAGGCUUCGAUCAGUAGCUGGUCUGAGAGGACGACCAGCCACACUGGGACUGAGACACGGCCCAGACUCCUACGGGAGGCAGCAGUGGGGAAUUUUGGACAAUGGGGGCAACCCUGAUCCAGCCAUGCCGCGUGAGUGAAGAAGGCCUUCGGGUUGUAAAGCUCUUUCAGCCGGAACGAAAAGGUUACGGUUAAUACCCGUGACUAAUGACGGUACCGGAAGAAGAAG
rnacentral:rRNA from 1 species